rnacentral:rRNA from 1 species
UACGUAGGGAGCAAGCGUUGUUCGGAUUUACUGGGCGUAAAGGGCGCGUAGGCGGCGCGGUAAGUCACUUGUGAAAUCUCUGAGCUUAACUCAGAACGGCCAAGUGAUACUGCAGUGCUAGAGUGCAGAAAGGGCAAUCGGAAUUCUUGGUGUAGCGGUGAAAUGCGUAGAUAUCAAGAGGAACACCUGAGGCGAAGGCAGGUCUCUGGGCAUUAACUGACGCUGAGGAGCGAAAGCAUGGGGAGCGAACAGG